AGCCCCGCGUUGUAGUCCAGCACGAACCAGCGGUACUGCCAGCCCUUCAUCACAUUGGUCCAUUUGCUCAGCGGGCCCUCCAUGAUAGACGCCAUCUUAGCACCGGACCGGCACCGCCGCGCACGCCGCGCGUUCGGGAAACGUUCCAUUUUAUUUUUUAUGGGUAACAAAUGCAGUAAUAAACUACAAUCAAGUAGAAGAUGGAGCAUUCUGAGUCAUCCUCAGUCUCCAGCUUCUGUCCUUUACAGAAUUAUGUUUGGUUUAGGGGAUUACAGAGAGAAAGAUAGAUGGGAGAGAAUCACCUUCAUCCUACAAGCAGUCAUUCUUCAAAGAGGACAAUUAAAUCAAGCAUGACAGUAAGUGCUAUUGAGGAGUGCAGCUUCCAGAGACUCCAGGUUGUGUCAAUUACAACACUUUUUUCAGCAGAUUCAUCGUGUCACGAGAGGGAUCUGCCCAGUGUCCAAGAUGAUGUUUGAGACUGAGGCUUCAGGUGAG